UACGUAGGGGGCAAGCGUUGUCCGGAAUUAUUGGGCGUAAAGAGCGCGUAGGCGGUCCGAUAAGUCGGCUGUGAAAGUCAGGGGCUCAACCCUUGAAAGCCGGCCGAUACUGUCAGACUAGAGUCCGGAAGAGGCAAGUGGAAUUCCCGGUGUAGCGGUGAAAUGCGCAGAUAUCGGGAGGAACACCAAUGGCGAAGGCAGCUUGCUGGGACGGUACUGACGCUGAGGCGCGAAAGCGUGGGGAGCAAACAGG
rnacentral:rRNA from 1 species